CCUACGGGAGACAGCAGUGAGGAAUAUUGGUCAAUGGACGAGAGUCUGAACCAGCCAAGUAGCGUGAAGGAUGACUGCCCUAUGGUUUGUAAACUUCUUUUAUAAAGGAAUAAAACGAGGCACGGGUGCCUUUUUGCAUGUACUUUAUGACUAAAGAUCGGCUAACUCCGUGCCAGCAGCCGCGGUAAUACGGAGGAUCCGAGCGUUAUCCGGAUUUAUUGGGUUUAAAGGGAUCGUAGGUGGGUUGUUAAGUCAGUUGUGAAAGUUCGGGGCUCAACCGUAAAAUUGCAAUUGAUACUGGCAGUCUUGAGUACAGUAGAGGUAGGCGGAAUUCGUGGUGUAGCGGUGAAAUGCUUAGAUAUCACGAAGAACCCCGAGUGCGAAGGCAGCUUACUAAACUGUGACUGACAUUGAUGCUCGAAAGUGUGGGUAUCAAACAGGAUUAGAUACCCGAGUAGUC
rnacentral:rRNA from 1 species